CACGUAGGGCGCGAGCGUUGUCCGGAAUUAUUGGGCGUAAAGGGUGCGUAGGCGGGUCUUUAAGUCAGGGGUGAAAUCCUGGAGCUCAACUCCAGAACUGCCUUUGAUACUGAAGAUCUUGAGUCCGGGAGAGGUGAGUGGAACUGCGAGUGUAGAGGUGAAAUUCGUAGAUAUUCGCAAGAACACCAGUGGCGAAGGCGGCUCACUGGCCCGGUACUGACGCUGAGGCACGAAAGCGUGGGGAGCAAACAGG
rnacentral:rRNA from 1 species